GGCUCAGAUUGAACGCUGGCGGCAUGCCUUACACAUGCAAGUCGAACGGCAGCACGGGAGCUUGCUCCUGGUGGCGAGUGGCGAACGGGUGAGUAAUACAUCGGAACGUACCCUGAAGUGGGGGAUAACGUAGCGAAAGUUACGCUAAUACCGCAUAUUCUGUGAGCAGGAAAGCAGGGGACCGCAAGGCCUUGCGCUCUUUGAGCGGCCGAUGUCAGAUUAGCUAGUUGGUGAGGUAAAGGCUUACCAAGGCGACGAUCUGUAGCGGGUCUGAGAGGAUGAUCCGCCACACUGGAACUGAGACACGGUCCAGACUCCUACGGGAGGCAGCAGUGGGGAAUUUUGGACAAUGGGCGCAAGCCUGAUCCAGCCAUGCCGCGUGAGUGAAGAAGGCCUUCGGGUUGUAAAGCUCUUUCGGCCGGGAAGGAAUCGCAUGGGUUAAUACCCUGUGUGGAUGACGGUACCGGAAUAAGAAGCACCGGCUAACUACGUG
rnacentral:rRNA from 1 species